rnacentral:rRNA from 1 species
UACCAUGCAGUCGAACGAUGACCACUUCGGUGGGGAUUAGUGGCGAACGGGUGAGUAACACGUGGGCAAUCUGCCCUUCACUCUGGGACAAGCCCUGGAAACGGGGUCUAAUACCGGAUACCACUCCCGCAGGCAUCUGUGGGGGUUGAAAGCUCCGGCGGUGAAGGAUGAGCCCGCGGCCUAUCAGCUUGUUGGUGAGGUAAUGGCUCACCAAGGCGACGACGGGUAGCCGGCCUGAGAGGGCGACCGGCCACACUGGGACUGAGACACGGCCCAGACUCCUACGGGAGGCAGCAGUGGGGAAUAUUGCACAAUGGGCGAAAGCCUGAUGCAGCGACGCCGCGUGAGGGAUGACGGCCUUCGGGUUGUAAACCUCUUUCAGCAGGGAAGAAGCGAAAGUGACGGUACCUGCAGAAGAAGCGCCGGCUAACUACGUGCCAGCAGCCGCGGUAAUACGUAGGGCGCAAGCGUUGUCCGGAAUUAUUGGGCGUAAAGAGCUCGUAGGCGGCUUGUCACGUCGGGUGUGAAAGCCCGGGGCUUAACCCCGGGUCUGCAUUCGAUACGGGCUAGCUAGAGUGUGGUAGGGGAGAUCGGAAUUCCUGGUGUAGCGGUGAAAUGCGCAGAUAUCAGGAGGAACACCGGUGGCGAAGGCGGAUCUCUGGGCCAUUACUGACGCUGAGGAGCGAAAGCGUGGGGAGCGA